AGAGUUUGAUCAUGGCUCAGGAUAAACGCUGGCGGCGUGCAUAACACAUUCAAGUCGAACGGUGCGAGGUGAAGCUUGCUUCACCGAAGCAUAGUGGCGGACGGGUGAGUAACGCGUGAGCAACCUGCCUGUGUGAGGGGAAUAACGUCCGGAAACAGACGCUAAUACCGCAUGAAGCACGGACACCGCAUGGUGACCGUGCCAAAAGAUUUAUCGCACACAGAUGGGCUCG
rnacentral:rRNA from 1 species